rnacentral:rRNA from 1 species
AGCUAUAAGUUCUCUGUAUCGCAGCUAACGCAAUAAGCACUCCGCCUGGGGAGUACGACCGCAAGGYUGAAACUCAAAGGAAUUGACGGGGGCCCGCACAAGCGGUGGAGCAUGUGRUUUAAUUCGAAGCAACGCGAAGAACCUUACCAGGUCWUGACAUACUCGUGCUAUUCCUAGAGAUAGGAAGUUCCUUCGGGACACGGGAUACAGGUGGUGCAUGGUUGUCGUCAGCUCGUGUCGUGAGAUGUUGGGUUAAGUCCCGCAACGAGCGCAACCCCUAUUGUUAGUUGCCAUCAUUAAGUUGGGCACUCUAACGAGACUGCCGGUGAUAAACCGGAGGAAGGUGGGGAUGACGUCAAAUCAUCAUGCCCCUUAUGACCUGGGCUACACACGUGCUACAAUGGAUGGUACAACGAGUCGCGAGACAGUGAUGUUUAGCUAAUCUCUUAAAACCAUUCUCAGUUCGGAUUGUAGGCUGCAACUCGCCUACAUGAAGUCGGAAUCGCUAGUAAUCGCGGAUCAGCACGCCGCGGUGAAUACGUUCCCGGGCCUUGUACACACCGCCCGUCACACCACGGGAGUUGGGAGUACCCGAAGUAGGUUGCCUAACCGC